rnacentral:rRNA from 1 species
CAAUAGCGUAUAUUUAAGUUGUUGCAGUUAAAAAGCUCGUAGUUGGAUUUCGGUUAAGAGCGACCGGUCCGCCGUUUGGUGUGCACUGGUUGGUUUUAACUUCCUGUAGAGGACAUGCUCUGGGUUUAACGACCUGGACUCGGAGUCUACGUGGUUACUUUGAAAAAAUUAGAGUGUUCAAAGCGGGCUUACGCUUGAAUAUUUCAGCAUGGAAUAACACUAUAGGACUCCUGUCCUAUUUCGUUGGUCUCGGGACGGGAGUAAUGAUUAAGAGGAACAGUUGGGGGCAUUCGUAUUUCAUUGUCAGAGGUGAAAUUCUUGGAUUUAUGAAAGACGAACUUCUGCGAAAGCAUUUGCCAAGGAUGUUUUCAUUAA